GAUCUCGUAGCAAAGCUGGUUAGAGCAUUUGACUUUUAAUCAAAGGGUCAUGGGUUCGAGUCCCAUCGAGAUCA
rnacentral:tRNA from 1 species